AGUGAAUUUCACUAUCUCUGAGGAUUUCUCCGACAUAGAGAAAACGAGGAGGCGAAAAAAAAAAAAAAAACAAAGAGAGAAGAGAACGUACUGCAGAAGAGGGAAGAAAGGAAAGAGGAAUCGAGAGGAGACGAAGAUAUCAAGGCUGGGCAGUGGAAGAGGCGAGUUUUGCAGUAGAAUCUCAACCAAAACAGGAAGUUCUUAAUAGGAAGUUGCGAUACAAAGCUCCUAGAACUGUUGGAUUGUAGAAAUUGCUGAACAUCGAUGCUCUUUCAAAUAAAGUUCAUGUAUGCCGUUAUUGAUUUAAAAAAAAUUUGUAUUAGUACAAGCAUAUUGUGCUUCAUUACAUAUAUAUAUGGAACAACUGCAAGUUCAUUCAACCAUUUUUCAAAAAUCAGAAUGAAGAGGUGUGCGAGCACCGCACUUCCGCACUCGC